rnacentral:rRNA from 1 species
UACAGAGGUCUCAAGCGUUGUUCGGAUUCAUUGGGCGUAAAGGGUGCGUAGGUGGCGCCGUAAGUCGGGUGUGAAAUUUCGGAGCUUAACUCCGAAACUGCAUUCGAUACUGCGGUGCUUGAGGACUGGAGAGGAGACUGGAAUUCAUGGUGUAGCAGUGAAAUGCGUAGAGAUCGUAAGGAAGACCAGUGGCGAAGGCGGGUCUCUGGACAGUUCCUGACACUGAGGCACGAAGGCCAGGGGAGCAAACAGG